ACAACUUUAUAUCUAAGGAGUGCUUUUGAGUUGACGGCCUGCACAUGCGCAGUUUGGCGCGUGAGGAUCGUUAGUGUGCUGCUUCUACGCAUGAGCUUUGCUAGUCAACGUCGCCAUGACAUCGUUACAAGUGUGAUCGGGGAUUUCUAUUGGAGAAGUACUUUUAGACUAUCUUGAUAUUCCAUACAACGCAACUAACUCACUGUUCCACCAAACAUGCAAUUGCUCAGCGCCAUCUACAGAUAUUACAUUAGUGAUGCACUUUAAACGUUUAGUGCAGUGACAUCACAUGUUAAAACUUAGUUAAAAGUAUCUUUGGUAACCUGUGCUAACAUUUAGACCUGCAACGGAAAAGCAUCAUGCAAUAAAGGCAUUUUACUACCGGUAAAGAACCAAGGCCGGUGGUAGCUGGUCCCCUGCAGCAAGGUGAGGUGCCGGAGGACCCCCCUCUGGACAUUGGGUAGUCCCCGGCUUAUACGAUACGGGCCAUUCUGGACUCGAGACGCUGGGUGUGGGGCCUGCAGUACCUCGUGGACUGGGAGGGGUACGGCCCGGAGGAGAGGUGCUGGGUACCGGUGGAGGACGUCCUGGACCCGUCCUUGUUGAGGGAUUUCCAUCGCCUCCACCCGGAUCGCCCUGCGCCUCGCCCUCCGGGUCGCCCUCGAGGCUGGUGUCGGCGCGCGGUCGGGGGGUACUGUCACGACUCCUACCGAAGGUGGCUCCCCCUCCUGCUCGGGUGGCGCUCGGCGGUCGUCGUCACCGGCCUACUAGCUGCCACUGACUCACUUUUUUUCCCCUUUCCGUUACUGUUUGCACCUGUUCUGUGUUGGGCUGAUUGACUGGGCUAUUUUAGCCAGUAGGCCCGCCUGCUCUGCAUUUUUGGCUUGUGUUCACGCUAUAUGUGUUUAGAUGCUAGUGCGUGGUUUGCACCGACCUUUUUCUGUCCCCUGUGUUUGGGGUACUUUGGUUUUGUGUGCCCUCCGUAUCGCUGUUGGGUUGGCUUGUGUUUCGCCAUUGUGUUCAUUAAAAGCCACUACCCUGUA